rnacentral:rRNA from 1 species
UACGGAGGGUGCGAGCGUUGUCCGGAAUCAUUGGGCGUAAAGGGCGCGUAGGUGGGCGCGGCAAGCGUGCGGUGAAAGCUCGGGGCUCAACCCCCAGCCUGCAGUGGGUACGGGCAGACGUAGAGUGGCGGUAGGGGAGAUUGGAAUUCCGUGGUGUAGCGGUGGAAUGCGCAGAUAUCAGGAGGAACACCGAUGGCGAAGGCAGAUCUCUGGGCCGUAACUGACGCUGAGGAGCGAAAGCAUGGGGAGCGAACAGG